GUGCUUACUUAGGCAGCACAUAAUGCCAAAAUUGGAAUGAUACAGAGAAAAUUAGCAUGGUCCCUGUGCAUGGAUGACAUGUAAAUUUGUGUUCCAUAUUUUA
rnacentral:snRNA from 1 species